GUUUGAUUCUGGCUCAGAACGAACGCUGGCGGCAUGCCUAACACAUGCAAGUCGAACGAGACCUUCGGGUCUAGUGGCGCACGGGUGCGUAACGCGUGGGAACCUGCCUUUAGGUUCGGGAUAACUCCUCGAAAGGGGUGCUAAUACCGGAUGAUGUCUUCGGACCAAAGAUUUAUCGCCUUUAGAUGGGCCCGCGUUGGAUUAGCUUGUUGGUGAGGUAAAGGCUCACCAAGGCGACGAUCCAUAGCUGGUCUUAGAGGAUGAUCAGCCACACUGGGACUGAGACACGGCCCAGACUCCUACGGGAGGCAGCAGUGGGGAAUAUUGGACAAUGGGCGAAAGCCUGAUCCAGCAAUGCCGCGUGAGUGAUGAAGGCCUUAGGGUUGUAAAGCUCUUUUGUCCGGGACGAUAAUGACGGUACCGGAAGAAUAAGCCCCGGCUAACUUCGUGCCAGCAGCCGCGGUAAUACG
rnacentral:rRNA from 1 species